rnacentral:rRNA from 1 species
UGAGGAAUAUUGGGCAAUGCCCGCAAGGGUGACCCAGCAACGCCGCGUGGAGGAUGAAUGUCGCAAGAUUGUAAACUCCUGUUAGAGGGGAAGAAUAGUACCGGUUGGACCGGUAUAUGACUGUACCCUCAGAGAAAGCCCCGGCUAACUACGUGCCAGCAGCCGCGGUAAUACGUAGGGGGCAAGCGUUGUCCGGAUUUACUGGGUGUAAAGGGCGCGCAGGCGGGAUAAAAAGUCAGUGGUGAAAUCCUACAGCUUAACUGUAGAACUGCCUUUGAUACUUUUAUUCUUGAGUUCGGGAGAGAGAGACGGAAUUCCAGGUGUAGUGGUGAAAUACGUAGAUAUCUGGAAGAACACCAGUUGCGAAGGCGGUCUCUUGGUCCGACACUGACGCUGAGGCGCGAAAGCGUGGGGAGCAAACA